CAAAGGACUCUUAGGUCUUAACUUUCAUAUAAACCAAUCGCAUAAGACUUGAGAAAAGAAUUAAUUUUAGGUUUUGAAUGCAAAGAACAAAAGUAAACAUGCAAAAUGCAUUGAAUCAAUUGGCUAGAAAAGACUAUGGAUGAAUGGAGUUGUUGAGGUUUACAAUUUCAUCUUAUCCACCCUCUUAUAUCUACUCUUCUUAUCUUCUUAGCUUAUUUAACAUAUUGUCAUGCAAACUUUCUUAGUCUACCCUAAACCCAAUCUCUUGGCGAAAAGAGCCAAUUACCAAUUACUGGCUUGCUAUCUCUAGCGUCCCCUAGUAACCAAGAAUGCAUGAUAAAUAGAAGUAAAAUACAAUUGAUCGUCCUACCCCUAUCUCUAGGCGGUAUUAGCAUAAUCAAGGAAUUCCCCCC
rnacentral:lncRNA from 1 species